CGAGGAAAACUGAAAACUUCGGCA
rnacentral:miRNA from 1 species